rnacentral:rRNA from 1 species
UACGUAGGGUGCGAGCGUUAAUCGGAAUUACUGGGCGUAAAGCGUGCGCAGGCGGUUUUGUAAGCCAGAUGUGAAAUCCCCGGGCUUAACCUGGGAACUGCGCUUGUGACUGCACAGCUAGAGUAUGGCAGAGGGGGGUGGAAUUCCACGUGUAGCAGUGAAAUGCGUAGAGAUGUGGAGGAACACCGAUGGCGAAGGCAGCCCCCUGGGCCAAUACUGGACGCUCAUGCACGAAAGCGUGGGGAGCAAA